AGCAGCCGCGGUAAUACGGAGGGUGCAAGCGUUAAUCGGAAUUACUGGGCGUAAAGCGCACGCARGCKGUUUGUUAAGUCAGAUGUGAAAUCCCCGGGCUCAACCUGGGAACUGCAUCUGAUACUGGCAAGCUUGAGUCUCGUAGAGGGGGGUAGAAUUCCAGGUGUAGCGGUGAAAAUGCGUAAAGAUCUGGAGGAAUACCGGUGGCGAAGGCGGCCCCCUGAACAAAAACUGACCCUCAGGUGCAAAGCGUGGGGAGCAAAAGAUUAAAUACC
rnacentral:rRNA from 1 species